rnacentral:rRNA from 1 species
AGAAGAAGCACCGGCUAACUACGUGCCAGCAGCCGCGGUAAUACGUAGGGUGCGAGCGUUAAUCGGAAUUACUGGGCGUAAAGCGUGCGCAGGUGGUUUGUUAAGUCAGAUGUGAAAGCCCCGAGCUUAACUUGGGAACUGCGUUUGAAACUGGCAAGCUAGAGUCUGUCAGAGGGGGGUAGAAUUCCACGUGUAGCAGUGAAAUGCGUAGAGAUGUGGAGGAAUACCAAUGGCGAAGGCAGCCCCCUGGGAUAAGACUGACGCUCAUGCACGAAAGCGUGGGGAGCAAACAGGAUUAGAUACCCUGGUAGUCCACGCCCUAAACGAUGUCAACUGGUUGUUGGGCAACUUGAUUGUUCAGUAACGAAGCUAACGCGAGAAGUUGACCGCCUGGGGAGUACGGUCGCAAGAUUAAAACUCAAAGGAAUUGACGGGGACCCGCACAAGCGGUGGAUGAUGUGGAUUAAUUCGAUGCAACGCGAAAAACCUUACCUACCCUUGACAUGUACGGAAGUCUGCUGAGAGGUGGAUGUGCCUGAAAGGGAACCGUAACACAGGUGCUGCAUGGCUGUCGUCAGCUCGUGUCGUGAGAUGUUGGGUUAAGUCCCGCAACGAGCGCAACCCUUGCUAUUAAUUGCCAUCAUUAAGUUGGGCACUUUAAUAGGACUGCUGGUGAUAAACCGGAGGAAGGUGGGGAUGACGUCAAGUCCUCAUGGCCCUUAUGGGUAGGGCUUCACACGUCAUACAAUGGCCGGUACAGAGGGAUGCCAACCCGCGAGGGGGAGCCAAUCUCAGAAAGCCGGUCGUAGUCCGGAUUGUUCUCUGCAACUCGAGAGCAUGAAGUCGGAAUCGCUAGUAAUCGCGGAUCAGCAUGUCGCGGUGAAUACGUUCCCGGGUCUUGUACACACCGCCCGUCACACCAUGGGAGUGGGUGAUACCAGAAGUAGGCAGUCUAACCGCAAGGGGGGCGCUUACCACGGUAUGAUUCAUGACUGGGGUGAAGUCGUAACAAGGUAGCCGUAGGGGAACCUGCGGCUG